rnacentral:rRNA from 1 species
UACGAAGGGAGCUAGCGUUGUUCGGAAUCACUGGGCGUAAAGCGCACGUAGGCGGAUCGAUCAGUCAGGGGUGAAAUCCCAGGGCUCAACCCUGGAACUGCCUUUGAUACUGUCGAUCUGGAGUAUGGAAGAGGUGAGUGGAAUUCCGAGUGUAGAGGUGAAAUUCGUAGAUAUUCGGAGGAACACCAGUGGCGAAGGCGGCUCACUGGUCCAUUACUGACGCUGAGGUGCGAAAAGCGUGGGGAGCAAACAGG